GGCAGAGCCAGGCCCUCCUGCUCCAGCAGGGCUGAGCGGCUGGAAGUGUGUAAUCUUCGGAAAGCUGUGACUGCGACCUGGAGUUGCGUAAGAAAUAAUUACAGAAUCCAGCCAGGGCUUGCUUCUUGCCACAGGCUCCAGGCUUUUACCCCCGACAUGUGUUCUGGUGAAUGGAGUGAGAUGAGGACUGGGUUUGAGAAGAUUUUGUUGGCUCCACAUGGUUUUGCAAAUCAACCUGCUGCUCCAGUGAUGACAUGCUGCUGAGGGAAGGUUUGGUGGUUCCUGGGAAGUUGAAAGGAUCUGGGCAAGCUUUUUAUUGCUGACUGUGUGCAACUGCCGCAAGGGGUCAAAAGUGCUUGGUUUGCACAACAUCUCCCCGGCAUUCUUACACGUGUGGUUAUGGAAUCAGGGUGCAGGGAAGGGUCAUGGAGCAGAGGGAAUUGCAUGUGCUCGAUCUUUUUCACAUUGGAGCUGCUUUCUGAAACCCGGCACGGGGAAGGGUGCUCAUCCAGGCCUUAAAAGUUGGCAGCAUCCCCCAGGAACUACCCUGUGAACAAAUCCAGGCUUUCGGAAGCACGUGAUUCUGCAGAAAUGCCACAUUCUCUUCCACAUGGGCUGUGGGCUCUGAGUCCCCCUUUGCUUCCUCGGCCUAUGUACCUGCUGAAGAAGACAGUUGUGUCGUGUACAUGCAACCUAAGGAGGUAACCUUUUACCCAGCCUGAGACUUCAGAGGGUAUUCAUAUUGGGGACCAGCAGCCCGUGAUGUUUGUCCCCCAGAGAGGGGGAGAGAGCUGCUGCCUGCAGAGUGGCUGCUCCUGCUUUGCACGGCCCCUGGCUUCUGCAUCCCUCCAUCCUCCAGCUGGGCACAGAGGUUGCCAAAAGGGCCAGUAGGAGGAGAAGGCUUCAUGGAGGACGGGGGCAAGAGCGGGCCGACCAUGCUGGCUUCCUCGCCUUGUGUCUGGCUGACUGCACAGGCCUGAGGAGGUAACCAACAGCAGAAACAGCUCUGGACAAAUGAGCAAAGGAAGACUCGACUGAGUUUCCCCAGAAUGGAGAGGAGCUGAGGAAGCUCCAGGGCCCACAGCGGAAGCUGGUGGACCAUUUCACUAGGACCCUGGGAGCAAAUCAGUCUGACUUGUGUUUGGCCCCUGAAUCCCCCUGCUCAAGGCUCAGAGUCCUGGAGAAUUGAGGGCAACCCCCACAUUGCAUGCCAUGGAUGGUGGCUUCCCCAGGGGAGUCGGGGUGCUAGGACUAGAGCAUGCCUCCUACAAAUGUUGACUUCCCCAGAAAAAUACCAGCUCUCUUAAGUAAGGGUGGGUCUAUCUGUGGGGAUGAUAGGGUCACCCUUAUUAUUCAUACGUUCCCUGGGCCUGAGAACUUACCUGGAAUACACUUUGUUAAAUAGUAAUA
rnacentral:lncRNA from 1 species